UCUCCGUUGGUGAACCAGCGGAGGGAUCAUUACCGAGUUUUUCUACUACCAAACCCCUGUUAACUUAUACCUUUACUGUUGCUUCGGCCGGUUAACGCCCCGGAAGGCCCAAAAAGCCGCCGGAACCAGGCGCCCGCCGGGGGACCCAAACUCUUGUAUUUCUUACUUUGCAUGUCUGAGUGGAAUCAUAAACAAAUGCAUCAAAACUUUCAACAACGGAUCUCUUGGUUCUG
rnacentral:misc_RNA from 1 species